CAACUUUGGUUUUGAUUCAAAGGUUAUCCUUUCCAGCGACGAGAGACCAUAUCCAAACAACUGUUGUACACUACUUGGCAGUAUCAUAGAUCGUAGUCUUUUACAUGAAUUUACAGUGAGAGAAUCAAGAUUAGUAAGAGUUUUGAUAGAUUCUGGAAGGGCUUCAAUUGGAUUUUCAUCCAAAUACAAAUUCCUUAGCAAGGAUAACUGACUCAAGUCCUUGGGAAAAGAAUUUUCGGAAAGGUUACGGUUUCUAAUGUCUAAAGUUACUAAAGAGCGUGGUAAAGAUAGGUUGAUGGUUUCAGGAUUUCUUUUGGGUUUAAACAUCCAUGACCAAACAAUGAAAUUCCAUGGUUUGACCUCUCUAGACGAACUUAGUGACGUGUUCAUGAUAGUUCCUUCAUCUUGAAACUCGGCAAGAUUUGAGCAACCAGAGAUUACAAGUGUUUCGAGAGAUCCUAGCAACUGAAUAUUUCUUGGAAGCUUCUCAAGUUUUUUGCAGCCUUCUAGAUCCAGUACAACAAGUCUUUCAAGGUUGCAAAUUGAGUCACAAAUGUCAACCAAACUCACGCAACCUUUUAGAAUUAAUCUCUCAAGAUUGCGGAGCCCAAAAAAGUUAAGUAUUUUACCAAGCCUAUGAGAAUGACUGAGGUCGAGGAUUUGAAGUGAUCGAAGAUCCUGUUUUAAAAACAAGUAAUGGGUGGUUAAUUCUAAACAUAUGAUCAAACGCUAGCUAAAAAAUGUUAAUAGGAAUAGAAGAUGUCAUACCAUAGUUCUCUCCCAAACUUGUUCCAACAUGCUACAACGUAGGUCGAGAGCAACCAGAUUCGACAAAGGUAAGUUUGUGGGUAUAUAGUACAAAGGGAAUCCAUGCCAAGAUAACCAUGCUAAAUUUCUGGGAAAAUGCUCAUAACUUCCAGUGAAUUGUACAUACUUGAGCCGAAGUAGUCUUAGACAUUUCAUCCUUUCAAAGGCUUUGAUUGACAGUUCAUCUCCAUUUGGACCUCUUAGACGUUUUAACGGCCUUGACAAGAAGCUAAAAUACGGUUUUACUGGUGAAGUGACCUUGUUGAACCCCAAUGAAUUAGGAUGAUUAGAACUAAAGGAUGACUUCACAGAGUAGUCUUUCUUGAACAUAUGCAUGUCAAGGGCAAGUCCUUCAAUUGAUUCUGUAGCCUAAGAGACAAUGAAAUGAAAGAAAAAGUGAAACAAAUAAAGAAAAGUUAAUUAUGAGCAUGUGAGAUCAAAUAAGUAUAAAAUGCACAUGAUAAGUAUUAUUUUUACCUCAUUUCUUUUCAUCACAUUAAAAGAAUCCUCAUGAUGCCAGAGUCUACUACGCUUUCCAGGAUCAUUAGGUGAUUCUUGGCAAACUAUUUCUCUUCCCAUAUCUUGAACCAGUUGAUUCAUUUCCAGCUUCCCUAUGUCAGUAAUUAUUAAGAGACUUUUUUCAAUGAGAUUUUGCAUUCCAACUUCUGUGGAAUAACCACACUUAUCCAAUAUAGUAACUAUAUAAAUUUUGUCCUCUCCGACAAAGAAACAAGCGAUGUGCAGAAAUAAAUUUUUGUCAUGGUCAUCUUGCAAUAAAUCAUAGCUGAUUUUUAGUAUCUCUAGGAUUUCAGCAUUUAGAAUUGCUUCCAAUUUCUGUAAUGCACUUUCCCAUACAUUUAUACUUUUUCCAGUUAGAGAGCACCCCAAAACUUUAAGGGCCAGUGGAAGCCCUCCACAUCGUUGUACGACCCUUACUGCUGUGUGGCUGUAACCUUCCAAGGGAUGGUCUUGUCCAAAAGCAUGCCAACUGAAAAGCUCCAAGGAUUCAUCAUCAUCCAAUAUUUCAACCUCAUGCAACUUAUGAAUUUUGCGAGCCUUUAACAACCACUUGUUCCUAGUUGUUAUGAUGAUCUUACUUCCACGAUAUAAAUCUUGUGUUCCAAUAAGUACAUCUAAUUGGUUCACAUCAUCAACAUCGUCUAGAACAAUGAAAACUCUAUUACUGCCUAAGGCAUCUUCAAUCUUAGUAGUCCCCUCAUAGUUAUUGUAGAUCUUUUCUAUUUGUCCCUUUAGAAUUCUUGAAAGAAGUUGUGUUUGUAAAUUAAGUAAACCAUUUAGUUGGUUACAAGUCUCUCUAAUAUUUGCAAGGAAGCAACUUCUUUCAAAUAUGUGAUGGUUUAAAUUAUAAACAAAUAUGGCAGCAGUUGUCUUACCCAUUCCACCGAUACCAAAAAUUACUAGCAUGUUAACAUCAGCUGAUCCAUCAUUUAGCCAGAGAUUAAUACUUUUGGUUCGAGAAUGUAAUCCGACAUGGAAUUUGGAAAUUUUCAAGGCUGGGCGAUUUACUUUUACAGUGACUACUUUAAUAAUUUCCUAGAUGAACUUUGACUCAUGCCUGAAAAUAGAAUUGAAAAACAAAAGUAAUUCAGAUGAAGAAAAUUGUUGAAUGUAUACUAAGUUUGUCAAUGUUCUCAUGGAAUUAUCAAAUCAAAAAAAGGAAAUACAGGGUAGUUGAAACCUUAUGGAAAGGCAUAGGAAAUCGAAAGAGUAUAUUAAAUUGCAAAAUCUCUGUCACUAGGUUAAUAAAUUCCGGUUUGAUAAGCUUUUCUAUAGUUAAAAAAAUCAUAUAUGUGCUAGUAUUCAUGUAUUUCUUCUAAAUAUUUUCAGAAAAAUAAUAUCAAGUAGCCUACAAGUAUAAUUUAAAUUAACCAACCAAUUUAGCUGUACCUCAUGUUAGAUGUUCGCUUAUAAAAUUUUCGUUUACUAGAAGGUUUUUAUUUUGUUCAAAUUUAUGUACUCCAGGUCGAGUAAGACAAUCAUUGGAAAGUCAAUCCCUUCUGCUACAAGAGGUGUUUGGAGAAGAAUAUGCUAUAAAAUGAAUAUGUUCAACGCUGUGUAUUUUUUCACAAUGGAAAGCAAAAAAUGGAAAAUUUAUGGAUUUUGUCAAUGUUGAAUGUGUAAUCUAAACUAAAUGAUGCAACUAAGAGGAACUAUAUUUUCAGAUUAACAAGAGAUGUUCGGAGCACACUCUAAACCAGUUGCUUUAACCAUCAUUAUGCUUCUUUGUAAUACAGUUUUCUUUGGUACAGAUUUUUUUUAUGAGUACAUGAAAUCAAGAAAACAGAAAGCUACACAAGUCACUUUCAGAUGCUAAUUAAUUGUUAACAGUAAAGCAAAGUUUGAAGUCCUUUCUUCUUGUACUACUGAUGCUGUGAUGUGAAGCAAUUAGAUUAUGGUGGUAAUUUGGGAUAACAAACAAAGUCCUGUUCUUCCUGUACAAAGCAUUCCGAAAAGAAAAAAUAGUAAAUGACGCUGAUUAAUAUAUAAGAGCAUUGGGUAACUUACCCAUCAGCUUGGUUUUGUAAGACCAUACCACUCAAGUCUGCAACUUCUUUCAAUGCUGCCCUCCAACCAUUUACCCUGUCCAUCCAUUCCUUUUUACUUUCAUCAUCAUUUUUCUCCAUCAAAUUCUCUUCGUACCUAUCAAAUGCUUUCUUGAUGCUUCCUAUUUGGUACCUAACAUCGGAUGGUUCCACGUGAUAGAAGACUGGAACAAAUAGAUGCCCAGAUAUCUUCUUGCAUUCAAGUAUCAUUAACAGCUCAUCCAGGCACCAUUUGGAAGAUGCAUAUCCCAAAAUCUAUAAGAAUUAGAUAAUGGGAUAUAAGAUUACAAAUAUGUUUGCUGCAUACAAAAGAAAUCAUUUUUUUCUUCAUGUAUCACUCUACUGCUGCAAUUGCUUUCUACAACUGAUGCUACUAUUUUUUUAUUAAUGCUACUAAACUCAUCCUACAACUGUUGCUGAAUGUAUCUCAUUGCCUCAUUAACUCUUCUCUUUAUGCACCUGGCUUCUAUUUGUUCUAUUUGUUCCUAGUUAAUACCGAGGCCGUAUUUAAGAAUAUAUAAUUACCCUUAAAAGUUGUCGUCGUCGUAUUUAAAAUAUAUCUCUAAUUUUGGAACGAAAUGAGUAGUACUUUUUAGAUAGUUUAUAAUAUUCAUCAUUUGACUAAAUUAAAUGAAUAUAUGUCAAAUUUUGAGUUUGAAAAUGUUUAAAUCAACUUCGAAAGUAGGGAUCCUAUAUAUUGGAAAGAUAGGAGAAUCAUUUUUAUUCAAACAUGUAUAAAUGGUUAAUGAUAACAAGCUAUCAUACUAGCUAAUAUAAGGCUUAUGAAGAUUCUCAUAAUUGAUGUAAUAUAGUCUCAUUUUUAUGGUUCAAAUCUUGAAAAUUGGUGCAGCUGCACAUGUGCAAACAUAAAGUGAAUAGAAAACAACAAAUAGGGAAAUAGUUUUUCAAAUUUAAACUUUGCAAGGAGAGACUAAUAUAAAGAGAAAGAGUGUCAUGAAAUGAAAACCUUCACAUCUCUAUUACCACGGUUUAUUUCUCAGUAAGAAUGUCACGUCCUGUCCUGUCCUGUCCAAUUCCAAUUAUCUAACUCUGCCACCAUACGGGUUAGGAAUUUUUUAGCCCAAAGAAUAUUUAUUUAAGUAAAAAAUUUAGUUAAAAAAACACACCUUCAAUUUUAACAUUAUCUCCGAAUACUCUCCGUGUCAAAUCGUUUGGGCAAUCUAACCCUACAUACGGUAUGUGGGCGAGGAAGUAGGCUCCUGUGCUCAGCUGAAAUUUUGUCAAGUCUCCACCAAUGACUUCAUCAUUCUCUAUCUCAUCAAUAUUUUCAGGCACAUUACCUUCUAUCUCACCAUACACCAGAUUGAUACCAAUCUCCUCUACCAGGAAAUCCUCUCCAAUGAAUACAGUAACAGUGACUUCAUCCCCACCCUCCAACUGAUUACCAAACUUCCAAUGGCUUAGCCAUAAAAAAUCUUCACCGUCUUCAUCUUCUCGAGUUCCGAAGUAAAUAGGAAGGUAUAUCCAAGUUAGAUUCUUGGUUUUGUUAUGGAUUUUUGUAAAUGAUGGAUAUGUAUCCCAAUAGGAAUAUUGUCCAUGAACAGCGCAUACAUUCAAUCCUCGGAUCCUCCAAUUAUUUGGAAGUGAAGGCACAGUGAACGAGGACGAUAACCUCCAAUUUUCAUCAGUGAACCAACUAGGAAACUCGCUCACAGGAAUAAACGUACUAAAUAUGCCAAAUUCAUGUAAUCCCUGUAUCACAAUAACCAUAAUGUCAAAAAUUAAUUCCAUAAAAGAUGAUAAGAGAGAAGAAAGAAAAACAAAAAACACCUGGAUGGGGCGCUUUAUUCCCAUAACAUUAUGUUUAUUAUAGAGUAUUACUUCAAGGUCUCUCGGUGAUUCUACAUUGAUCAGACCCAAAUCGUUUAUUAUAUCACUAUCAACGGCUCCAAUAGGUUCUAACCGGAAGAAUCCUUGCACUUCACUUAAGCCUGAGUCAUGCGACAAGUAUUGUACACUACUCGGCAGACCUAUCAUAGAUCGUAGUCUUUUACAUGACUUUGCGGAGAGAAACCCAAGAUUAGUAAGAGUUUUGACAUAUUCUGGAAGGGCUUCAAUCGGAUUUUCAUCCAAAUACAAUACCCUUAGCAAGGAUAACUGACUCAAGUCCUUAGGAAAAGAAUUUUCAGAAAGAUUGCAGUUUCCAAGGUUUAAACUUACCAAAGAGAGUGGUAAAGAAAGAUUGAUGGUUUCAAGAUUUAUUUUGGGUUUAAACAACCAUGACCAAACAAUGACAUUCCAUGGUUUGACCUCUCUAAACGAACUUAGUGAGGUGUUCAUGAUAGUUCCUUCAUCUGGAAACUUAGUAAGAUUUGAGCAACCAGAGAUUACAAGUGUUUCGAGAGAUCCUAGAAACUGAAUAUUUUUUGGAAGCUUCUCAAGUUUUUUGCAGUCUUCUAGAUCCAGUACAACAAGUUUUUCGAGGUUGCAAAUUGAGUCACAAAUGUCAACCAAACUCACGCAACCUUUUA
rnacentral:lncRNA from 1 species